GCUUGGAAGCAGCCAUUCAUUUAAAGAGUGCGUAACAGCUCACUAGUCGAGGAGUUUGGCGUGGAUAAUAAUCGGGUAUUAAGCUGUCUACCGAAGCAGUGGGAUCAUAUAAUGAUCGGUAGGGGAGCAUUCCACUCGGCGUCGAAGGCGUACCGUGAGGUAUUCUGGAGCGUGUGGAAAAGCAAAUGUAGGUAUAAGUAACGAUAAAGGGGGUGGGAAACCCCCUCGCCGAAAGACUAAGGUUUCCUGAUCAACGCUAAUCGGAUCAGGGUCAGUCGGGUCCUAAGGCUCAGCCGAACGGCGAGGCCGAUGGCAGAACCGGUUAAUAUUCCGGUACUACCUUUUUAGGUGAUGCGAAGACGCAGGAGUGACAGUACCGCCGGCUGACGGAAUAGCCGGUUAAAGAGUGUAGACGUUGAUUACGGCAGGCAAAUCCACCGUAAGAGUCGACCUUGAUAGUAUACCGCGUCCUUCGGGACAAGGUAAUAGUGUACGUAAUCAUACUGCCUAGAAAAUCCGCUAAACAUAACUUCAAAGGUACCCGUACCGCAAACGGACACACGUAGUCGGGUUGAAUAUACUAAGGCGCUUGAGUGAUUCACGGUUAAGGAACUAGGCAAAUUAACCCUGUAACUUCGGGAUAAAGGGUCCCUACCCAGUGAUGGGAGGGCGCAGAGAAUAGGUCCAGGCAACUGUUUAACAAAAACACAGGGCUGUGCCAAGUCGAAAGACCAUGUAUACAGCCUGACACCUGCCCGGUGCUGGAAGGUUAAGAGGAGAUGUCAUCGCAAGAGAAGCAUUGAAUUGAAGCCCCAGUAAACGGCGGCCGUAACUAUAACGGUCCUAAGGUAGCGAAAUUCCUUGUCGGGUAAGUUCCGACCUGCACGAAUGGUGUAAUGAUCUGGACACUGUCUCAACCGUGAGCUCAGUGAAAUUGUAGUAUCGGUGAAGAUGCCGAUUACCCGCGAUGGGACGAAAAGACCCCGUGAACCUUUACUAUAGCUUAUCAUUGAAUCUGGGCACGUGAUGUGUAGGAUAGGUCGGAGGCUUUGAAGCAGGUACGCCAGUAUUUGUGGAGCCGCUGUUGAAAUACGACCCUUCAUUUGUUUGAGUUCUAACCCGCUGUUGCGGGGACACUGAUUGGUGGGUAGUUUGACUGGGGUGGUCGCCUCCAAAAGUGUAACGGAGGCUUCUAAAGGUGCCCUCAGACCGAUCGGUAACCGGUCUUAGAGUGUAAUGGCAUAAGGGCGCUUGACUGGGAGACUUACAAGUCGAGCAGGUAGGAAACUAGAGCAUAGUGAUCCGGUGUUUCCGUAUGGAAGGGACAUCGCUCAAAGGAUAAAAGGUACUCCGGGGAUAACAGGCUGAUCCCUCCCAAGA
rnacentral:rRNA from 1 species